CCCUUAGAUGCUCUGGGCCGCACGCGCGCUACACUGGUCGAUGCAACGAGUUUCUUUCCUUGGCCGACAGGCCUGGGCAAUCUUUGAACAUCGAUCGUGAUCGGGAUAGAUUCUUGUAAUUUUUGAUCUUAAACGAGGAAUUCCUAGUAAACGCAAGUCAUCAGCUUGCAUUGAUUACGUCCCUGCCCUUUGUACACACCGCCCGUCGCACCUACCGAUUGAAUGGUCCGGUGAAAUCGCCGGACUGGCGUGAGUCGGAGCAAUCUGACAAACACCGGAAAGUUGAUUAAACCUUACCAUUUAGAGGAAGGUGAAGUCGUAACA
rnacentral:rRNA from 1 species